rnacentral:rRNA from 1 species
GAUGAACGCUGGCGGCGUGCCUAAUACAUGCAAGUCGAGCGAACGGACGAGAAGCUUGCUUCUCUGAUGUUAGCGGCGGACGGGUGAGUAACACGUGGAUAACCUACCUAUAAGACUGGGAUAACUUCGGGAAACCGGAGCUAAUACCGGAUAAUAUUUUGAACCGCAUGGUUCAAAAGUGAAAGACGGUCUUGCUGUCACUUAUAGAUGGAUCCGCGCUGCAUUAGCUAGUUGGUAAGGUAACGGCUUACCAAGGCAACGAUGCAUAGCCGACCUGAGAGGGUGAUCGGCCACACUGGAACUGAGACACGGUCCAGACUCCUACGGGAGGCAGCAGCAGGGAAUCUUCCGCAAUGGGCGAAAGCCUGACGGAGCAACGCCGCGUGAGUGAUGAAGGUCUUCGGAUCGUAAAACUCUGUUAUUAGGGAAGAACAUAUGUGUAAGUAACUGUGCACAUCUUGACGGUACCUAAUCAGAAAGCCACGGCUAACUACGU